GAAGAGCGUGAGGUGGGUUCGCUGAUAUUAGCACUGUGGUAAAAUGUUGUGUAUUAUUGCUGUAUGUUCGUAUAUGAUCACUGGCUAACUGUAAUAUGUACUUAUAUCAACCAGGACACUAAUGAGUUGCAUAUUGUACCUUUGAUGAGAUUAAUAACAUUAUAACACACAGUUGGAAAAGUUCGCUAGCCUGAUGCUAAUGGAAAAUGCCAUUCCUCGUACGGUGCUGUACCCGAUGAUGAGUCCAUGAUUCUGACCAGUACAUGUUCCGUUUCAUGCAGAUAAAGUUCAGCAUUCAUCUCAUCCUGUCUCCUGACUAUCAUUAAACACAACGCAGACACAAACUAUACGACGGAUGAAGACACAGAACUGGGUUAUGAUUAUUUGGACCGAGCUGAAUUAAUACACGGCCAAGUUCAGCACGGUUACACUGGUGCCGUGACCCGUUCUUCAGCUGCGUCGGCGCGGGCAGAGUCUACUUCCCGGAGCGCUCGCAUCGGAGUACCGGGGCUGCGUCUACUUCCUGGUGUAACAAUGCCAGUUCUUUGUUAAUAGUGUUUAUAGUUUACAGUUGUCUCUGCCAGUUAUGUUCAUAUUUAUUUAUGUAGAAUUUCACAAAGAUUAUUUUAUUGAAUUUACCUGACGUGUUUGUGUAGCUCCGGUUGGUGUGCGGAACCUUUCUUUUGUUAUUGUUUUCUGUACCCCUACGUUUAGUUUUCUGGGACAACUCCUUUAUAAGGAGCAGUCUCGCGCUCACUCUCCCCCUUCUUCCUGUGGCAUUCGGCGGGAGCGGUGAGUGAAAGUUUAGGAAGUUUAGUAAUCGUAAAUCCAGCUGUACUAGACAACAAUGUCUUUGUGUGUUUUGUUUGUGUAGGGGCUUAAAGCGAUCGUCACCAACCAGACUGUGAUGUUUUGUUUACUAUUUGGUCAG